AAGUCGUAACAAGGUAACCGUAGUAGUUUUGAUUCUGCUCAGGAUGAACGCUGGCGGCGUGCCUAAUACAUGCAAGUCGAACGAGUUCUCGUUGAUGAUCGGUGCUUGCACCGAGAUUCAACAUGGAACGAGUGGCGGACGGGUGAGUAACACGUGGGUAACCUGCCCUUAAGUGGGGGAUAACAUUUGGAAACAGAUGCUAAUACCGCAUAGAUCCAAGAACCGCAUGGUUCUUGGCUGAAAGAUGGCGUAAGCUAUCGCUUUUGGAUGGACCCGCGGCGUAUUAGCUAGUUGGUGAGGUAAUGGCUCACCAAGGCGAUGAUACGUAGCCGAACUGAGAGGUUGAUCGGCCACAUUGGGACUGAGACACGGCCCAAACUCCUACGGGAGGCAGCAGUAGGGAAUCUUCCACAAUGGACGCAAGUCUGAUGGAGCAACGCCGCGUGAGUGAAGAAGGCUUUCGGGUCGUAAAACUCUGUUGUUGGAGAAGAAUGGUCGGCAGAGUAACUGUUGUCGGCGUGACGGUAUCCAACCAGAAAGCCACGGCUAACUACGUGCCAGCAGCCGCGGUAAUACGUAGGUGGCAAGCGUUAUCCGGAUUUAUUGGGCGUAAAGCGAGCGCAGGCGGUUUUUUAAGUCUGAUGUGAAAGCCCUCGGCUUAACCGAGGAAGCGCAUCGGAAACUGGGAAACUUGAGUGCAGAAGAGGACAGUGGAACUCCAUGUGUAGCGGUGAAAUGCGUAGAUAUAUGGAAGAACACCAGUGGCGAAGGCGGCUGUCUGGUCUGUAACUGACGCUGAGGCUCGAAAGCAUGGGUAGCGAACAGGAUUAGAUACCCUGGUAGUCCAUGCCGUAAACGAUGAAUGCUAGGUGUUGGAGGGUUUCCGCCCUUCAGUGCCGCAGCUAACGCAUAAGCAU
rnacentral:rRNA from 2 species